rnacentral:lncRNA from 10 species
AUAUAUAUAUGUUUCCUCGGUCAAUUAUCUGAUUAAAACAAAUUGAUAUCAACAUAUAUAUAGAAAAUUACCCAAUGGAACUAAGAACAAAGAAAGAGGACUUGACAUAUUAAAUAUCAAGAGUUGCUGUAAUGAUCUCUUUUUUUCACAAUCUCUUUCCUUCCUUUUCUUCCACAUGAAAUGUCCUCAACUGUCUUGUCCACCAGGGAUGCAGAGUUUACUGUGCAUUCUUCAAGACUAAGCUGAAACAUGAUUUCCCCUCGGAAGCUGUCAUUGGCUUCAGGUUCUUCUUCCUCUGUCAUUCUUCAGAACUUCAAGUGCUGUCUCAUAAACCGUGCCAGUUCAAGCCUUGAGUAACAUCCUAUAGUUGUAUGAUCUUGGACUACUUUAUUUAAACAAUAUAUUAUAG